GACGAACGCUGGCGGCGUGCUUAACACAUGCAAGUCGAACGAAGUGGCGCACGGGUGAGUAACGCGUACUCAACCUGCCCUUCAGAGGGGGAAAACAGUGGGAAACGACUGAUAAUCCCGCAAACUGAAGGGGGGGAGUGCGUUGGAUGGGCUAGGUGGCGGGGUAACGGCCCACCAAGGCGAUGGUCAGAGGCCGGUCUGAGGGGGUGAACGGCCACAUUGGGACUGGAACACGGCCCAGACUCCGUCGGGAGGGAGCAGUGGGGAAUCUUCCGCAAUGGACGGAAGGCUGACGGAGCAACGCCGCGUGAGUGAUGACGGCCUUCGGGUUGGAAAGCUCUGUUAAUCGGGACGCGGUACCGGAAUAGAAAGCCACGGCUAACUACGUGCCAGCAGCCGCGGUAAUUC
rnacentral:rRNA from 1 species